GACGAACGCUGGCGGCGUGCUUAACACAUGCAAGUCGAACGAUGAAGCCUUUCGGGGUGGAUUAGUGGCGAACGGGUGAGUAACACGUGGGCAAUCUGCCCUUCACUCUGGGACAAGCCCUGGAAACGGGGUCUAAUACCGGAUAACACUACGGUCCGCAUGGUCUGUGGUUGAAAGCUCCGGCGGUGAAGGAUGAGCCCGCGGCCUAUCAGCUUGUUGGUGAGGUAGUGGCUCACCAAGGCGACGACGGGUAGCCGGCCUGAGAGGGCGACCGGCCACACUGGGACUGAGACACGGCCCAGACUCCUACGGGAGGCAGCAGUGGGGAAUAUUGCACAAUGGGCGGAAGCCUGAUGCAGCGACGCCGCGUGAGGGAUGACGGCCUUCGGGUUGUAAACCUCUUUCAGCAGGGAAGAAGCGCAAGUGACGGUACCUGCAGAAGAAGCGCCGGCUAACUACGUGCCAGCAGCCGCCGUAACAC
rnacentral:rRNA from 1 species